ensembl:lncRNA
AUCAGAGCUGAAGUGCAGGGCUACGGAAAACAUUCAGACUUCUUUUUUCCCAGCUGGAAUACACAAAGCUUUCUGAAAGGACCCUCUGGGUGGCAUUUCUCUAAUGAACAGUGAACUUGCUUUCCUAAGCUGUGUCAGAUUGUUACAAAGAAGACAAAGGAACUGUGCAUGCCUGUGCUUCCCAUAAUGAAACAAUUCUGGCAAACUCCUCAGCUAACCUGGAUUUUGAACUGGUGGAUGAUACUGAAGCUUACAACAGAAGUACAGUGGCCAAUUUUAAUCUCAUACCAUAUGGAAGUGAUUGUAUGCCAUCAACAGCAAAGGAAU